rnacentral:lncRNA from 1 species
AUACAGAUUCGAACCAAAACUAACUACAACCUAUGUGAAAUUUACAACUAUACCAAAUCCAAUUCUGAGUUCAAAACAAAACUAGCAUCAUAUGAACAUAUUGUGAAAAAUCAAGACACUUGAAUCUUAGUAAACACAAUCAUCAACAACACUAUAUCUACAACUUUUCCAAACAUCAGACAAUACACAGAAUAUAAUACUUAUCAAAUCAGACAAACCGAAAUCGCCUUCGUCAAUAACAACAUGUACGCUACGAAACAAAUAAAAUAACACAAACACUGAAAUGUUACCGCAUCGAAUGUUGCUGCCCUGUUUUGUUAUCAGUGGCGUCAUUGCUGUAUUGCCAAUAUUGUGCUCAAGGUAGAUGGAAUCGACAUGUUGAUGCUGAAGAUUUUAUGCGUAUCCAUUGCCUUUCCAGCAAACGCCUCAGUAACAAACACUAAUCAAAACUGAAUCUCUGCCAAAUCCACAAACAUUAACGCAUAACCCGAUAGCUUUCCCGGAUCUCACCUGUGUACAGAUACACAGAUCGGAAAGGAACUGUGAGUUAUGAAGGGGCGGCGACGACGAUGAUGAUGAUGGGCGUGAGGCAGCGGUUGUGAGUUGCUUGAAUCUGAGCUGGAACCGCGUCAAAAUAACCAGAGGCUACCUCCUCAAACCACUUUCACGAGCCAACAAAAGGAACAACCGUGAAGGAAAUCGUGCGAGUUGGUGGUGGAGCCGUUUUGGGUGUUGACGGCGGAUUUAGGGUUUGAAGAGGGUUGAAGAUGAUUGACGGCGGAGUAAGAGUUUCGUGUGAUGUUUGAUAAUGAAGCCGUUUUGGGUGUUGACGGCGGAUUUAGGGGUUUAAUGGUGUUUGGUGAGCGGCUUGACGGAGGAAGCGUGUGGUAGUGAAGAGAGACACUGAUUUCUCUCUUUUAUUGCUUAUGUUUUCUGUUUCGUGAAGGAAUCCGUGGUUUUGUGAGUGCGUAGUUGAGUGAUGAAGGGUGUGCGAUGGUGAAUGGAGUGGAGUCGGAUGGAGGGUUUGUGUGGGCUAACGGCGAGGCCACGAAGAUGGAUUUCUGAGUGAAGUUGUGAGAAUUUUUAGUGUAGUAGGUUGUUAGGUGAUAGCUGGAGAGUGAGUGAGAGAAUGAAAGGGUUAUGUAGUUAGCGUGAGAGAAAAAGACAAAAGAAGAGUGGGGAGAGAGAGAUGAAUCGUGAUUCUGAGUGGGUGUGAGAGGAAAAUUAAGGAAUGAGGAGUGUGUGUCCGUUUGUGGGUGGAUCCUGAGUGGAGGUGAGGUGGCGAGAGAUCUUCUGAGUGAGGAUCUCUUGUGUGACCGUUGGGGAAUGAUUUUUUUUUAGAGUAUUAAUUUUUAUUUUUAUUUUCCAUUUUUAUUAAUAACUCCUAUUAUCUAUUUUAAAAAUAUAUUCAUUAGAACUUCUUAAAUAUUAAUUUAAUUUAGAUAAUAAUGAUAGUAAUAAAAAAAAAACUAAUUUGUACAUUAGACUAAAGAAAUAAAAGGAUUGAUUAUACUUAUCAGUCGGGUGUAAAUUUAUUCGAAUAAUUAAUUUGAACACACCAAAAUAAUCAGUACAGAAUAUAUUUAUUGAAAAAUACAGUGUUUCUUCAAAUUUUAAUGAUUCCACCGAUUUGUCUGUAUUCUCAAAUAAAUUCAUUCUGACUGACAUUUUUAGGUAUUAUUCACGAUGCAAUGUAUGUAAUGCUAUGCAUAGGAUGCGAAAAUGAAAAUGAAGUCAGAUUUACAAAAAUUUAAAUAUGCCCGGACAAAAUUGGGGUAUGACAGAUAUGGGGCUACAUUAUAGGUCACUUUUGACCUAUACCAUUGAUCAAGUGAUUUUUCCAAACUUCAAAAAUGCAUAACUCUAUCAUUUCAAAUCCAAAUUACAUGAAAUUGGUGACCAUUUUGAAGGUCUUUUAGAGAGCUAUAACUUUGAUGAAAACAGUUUUCUCAUUUGAAGCUCCCAUAAAAAGUUAAGUAAGGUGGAACAUUGAGACAUAUGGCUUGACACUUAGAAAAAAAUUGAUAUGUCAAACUUUUCCAAACUUCCACCUCAAAUUUCUCCAAGUUUCAAGCUCCAAAUGAAAAAGUGUUGAACAUCAAACUUUUUCCCCUUGAUCUCACCUUUCCAAAGAGCUCACAUUCAUUCAUUUUCAAUGAGAAAUGUAUAGGUUGCGCAUGGCUUAAACAAGCUGAUAUCAUUUGGCAUGGAUCAAACUUCAAACAUCAAUGUGCAUUUACCUUGCUAUCCAAGCUUACUUCAAUGCAUCUGAUCUAUAAUUAUGGACUUCUAGCAAUCAUUUCAUGGGCCUAUGCGCGCCCAUGCAACAUUACAUCACCAUUUGCCAAUUUUGGAAAGUGAAAGUGAGUGUGCAAUUAUCAACCAAAUCAGCUAUAAAUAGAGCUUCAAUUCCUCAGAAAUUCACACACAAUCGUGCCAGCUUUGAUCCCCCAUUUCAAACCCCCAAUUCUCAAAGGAUAAGUCUGAUAAAUUCUCUUGAAUUUGAGCUUGAAUCUCCAUUGUUUUGGAAUUCAAUUCUCCAGGAAUCCAUUGCUUCUAAACCAUUCAGUCCUUCUCAUGCAAGCAAGUUUAGUGAGUCCAAGCAUAAGCAAGAUCAAGAUCCAUCGAAUCCAGACCUACAUUGAAGGUAAUUCUCAGAAAUUUUAAAGUCUUCGAUUCUCUCAUAUUAUUUCUCAAUUCUAUUGAUUCUUUGGUUGUCUGAAGUCCUACCAAUGUAGGCAAGAAGAUUGAGUUGCUUUGAGGUCAAAUCGAAGCAACUCAGUUCAUGUACCUCAAAUUUCAAUUCCACAUAUCUCUCAACUGAAGUCCUACCAAUGUAGGCAAGAAGAUUGAGUUGCUUUGAGGUCAAAUCGAAGCAACUCAGUUCAUGUACCUCAAAUUUCAAUUCCACAUAUCUCUCAAUAUACUUGGAAUUGGAAUGAAUGGAAGUCAGAUUCGAGCUCAGUGCCAUUUUUUAUUUAAGAUCAUGUCCUUGUUUUUUUUUGGUGAUGGUUCAUGUUGACCAGUCCGGUGAGGUCCACCAGAGAAGAUGACCGGAGCUCUAGCUCCGGCGAUGACUUGGCCAACCUCUGAACCACAUGAUCCUCCUCUCACGUUUUAAUCCAGGGCGUUGGUGUUGAUUACCACAUUUGCCAUGCAGUUGACUCACAUCAAUGUGGAACGCGCGCUUUUGAUCAUCACAUUUUCCACCUCAAUUAAUAAGGGAGAUCUGAUGGUCCACGUAAUUUAGAAUUUAUGAAUUUUCAUUUUAAUUGCAUUUUCUUCAAUAAUUCAUAUUAAAUUCAAUAUUGAUCCAAAAAAUAUGGUACUUUCACCAAAAAAUUUCAAAUAUUUUUCUCUUUCAUAUUCUGAAUUAAAAUUAUUUUUUGGAUCAUUAUUAAUAUUUUUCAUGAAUUAAUUGAUUUUGCAUUUGUUUUUAAUUGUUCAAAAAUAUUUUUAAAUGUCCAAAAAUCAUGAAAUUUUUUCUCCAAGGUCCUUUGACCUUGUUUGACCUAUGAUAAAUCUCAUGGCCAUUUCUUUGGUGUUUUGAUGAGAUUUUAGGAAUUGGACAAAACAUAUUUGAUUUAAAUGCAUUAUUUUAUUAUUUUUAGUUGAAUAAAUGCCAAUUAAAUUGUGUUGAUCAUUUGAAUUGACUUGUAUGUAUUUGCUUAUUGUUGUUGGACCUUGGUCAAGGUUGAUUUGACUUUGUCAAGUGAAUAUCAUUGGAUUUAGGGGAUUGAUGGAAUGUACAUUUCAUCUCCCAAAAUGAAUGAAUGAUAUUAAUUUGGUAAAAGUCCUCCUUUGACCAAUUUGUGAUCUCAUUCAUCCCCUUCCCACUUCAUCUCAUUCCACUUCUUCAUUCAUUCAUUUCCAUUUGGCCUAUGACAUCUCAAGGUCCUAAUGCUAGUUGAUUGAAAAAUUGACGUGAGUAUGGAUGAGAUUAGGCCACACCUUUUGCAUAUUUUUUGUGUGUGGUAUGUUUCAUGAGCAUAGUUCAUAAUACUAUGUCUCCAACAUGCAUUAACACCAAAAGUCUAUUGCCCCGCCUCAAAUGGUUGUGACUUCUACAUAAGUCCAAUUACGAUUGCUUAACAUAGCGCUAAAUCUGUGACAUAAAAGGCAUAAGCAUUCUAGUUAGUGAGAUUGUAAGUCUCCCCUCUUUCAUGGUAUUGUGUGGAAACUUGACCUUCUUUCCUU